rnacentral:rRNA from 1 species
UACGAAGGGUGCAAGCGUUACUCGGAAUUACUGGGCGUAAAGCGUGCGUAGGUGGUUCGUUAAGUCUGAUGUGAAAGCCCUGGGCUCAACCUGGGAAUGGCAUUGGAAACUGGCGAUCUAGAGUGCGGUAGAGGGUAGUGGAAUUCCCGGUGUAGCGGUGAAAUGCGUAGAGAUCGGGAGGAACAUCUGUGGCGAAGGCGACUGCCUGGACCAGAACUGACACUGAGGCACGAAAGCGUGGGGAGCAAACAGG